GGAGUGAAAUAGAUCCUGAAACCGUAUGCUUACAAAAAGUCAGAGCACAUUAAGGUGUGAUGGCGUGCCUUUUGUAGAAUGAACCGGCGAGUUAUCUUUGCAUGCGAGGUUAAGCAGACAAUGCGGAGCCGUAGCGAAAGCGAAUCUUAAUAGGGUGGCAAGUAUGUAGAGAUAGACCCGAAGCCGUAGUGAUCUAGUCAUGAGCAGGUUGAAGGCUGGGUGAAUCCAGCUGGAGGACCGAACCGACCCCCGUUGAAAAGUUGGCGGAUGACUUGUGAUUAGCGGAGAAAUUCCAAUCGAACACGGCGAUAGCUGGUUCUCCCCGAAAUAGCUUUAGGGCUAGCGUUGAACGAAUCUACCCGGAGGUAGAGCACUGAAAUCAUGCGGGCGGCAUCUCGCCGUACCAAAUGAUAUCAAACUCCGAAUGCCGGGCAAGAAUAUUCAGCAGUCAGACUGUGGGUGAUAAGGUCCAUGGUCAAAAGGGAAACAGCCCAGAUCAUCAGAUAAGGUCCCAAAAUUUACGCUAAGUGGAAAAGGAUGUGGAGACGCGCAAACAGCUAGGAGGUUGGCUCAGAAGCAGCCAUCCUUCAAAGAGUGCGUAACAGCUCACUAGUCGAGUAUCUCUGCGCCGAAAAUUAACCGGGGCUAAGCGUAAUACCGAAUCUAUGGAUUUAUACUUAGGUAUAAGUGGUAGGGGAGCGUUCCAUACAGCAUUGAAGGUAUACCGUAAGGAGUGCUGGAGCGUAUGGAAGUGAGAAUGCCGGUGUGAGUAGCGAGAUGUGGGUGAGAAUCCCACACACCGAAAAACCAAGGUUUCCAGGGGAAGGUUCGUCCGCCCUGGGUAAGUCGGGACCUAAGGCCAGGCCGAAAGGCGUAGUCGAUGGAUAGCAGGUUGAUAUUCCUGCACCCGCGAGUAAAGUGAUGGAGUGACAGAUAGGGUUAACCAGAGUCCUAAAUGGAUUGGGCAAGGCAAGCAGGAGAGUGGCGUAGGCAAAUCCGCGUCGGAUACUCAAAGGCUUGACUCAAGCGAACGCGCGAGCAAGUAGUGAAGAAGGUGAUACCAGGUCUCGAGAAAAGCUUCUAGCGAUAAUUUACUAGCGGCCCGUACCAAAACCGACACAGGUGGUUGAGGCGAGUAGCCUAAGGUGAGCGAGAGAACUGUUGCCAAGGAACUCGGCAAAUUGACCCCGUACGUUAGCAAUAAGGGGUGCUCGAAAGAGCCGCAGUGAAUAGGCCCUAGCAACUGUUUAACUAAAACAUAGCUCUCUGCGAAGUCGCAAGACGAAGUAUAGGGGGUGACACCUGCCCGGUGCUGGAAGGUCAAGGGGAUUUGUCAGACGCAAGUCAAAGCAUUGAACCGAAGCCCCAGUGAACGGCGGCCGUAACUAUAACGGUCCUAAGGUAGCGAAAUUCCUUGUCAGGUAAGUUCUGACCCGCACGAAAGGUGUAAUGAUUUGGGCACUGUCUCGGCAGCAGACUCGGUGAAAUCUUAGUACCUGUGAAGAUGCAGGUUACCCGCAACUAGACGGAAAGACCCCAUGGAGCUUUACUGUAGUCUGCUAUUGAGUUUCGGUUAAGUAUGCACAGGAUAGGUGGGAGACGAUGAGACUGGUCUUUCGGGAUCAGAGGAGUCACUGUUGGGAUACCACUCUUACUUAAUUGAAAUUCUAACUCUAAGCCGUGAUCCGGCUAGAGGACCGUGGCAGAUGGGCAGUUUGACUGGGGCGGUCGCCUCCCAAAGAGUAACGGAGGCGCACAAAGGUACUCUCAGAAUGGUUGGAAAUCAUUCAACGAGCGCAAACGCAGAAGAGUGCUUGACUGCGAGACAAACAAGUCGAGCAGGGACGAAAGUCGGUGUUAGUGAUCCGGCGGUGCAGAAUGGAAUGGCCGUCGCUUAACGGAUAAAAGCUACCCUGGGGAUAACAGGCUGAUCUCGCCCAAGAGUUCACAUCGACGGCGAGGUUUGGCACCUCGAUGUCGGCUCAUCGCAUCCUGGAGGUGAAUUCGCUUCCAAGGGUUGGGCUGUCCGCCCAUUAAAGCGGUACGCGAGCUGGGUUCAGAACGUCGUGAGACAGUUCGGUCCCUAUCUGUUGUGGGCGUUGGAAAUUUGA
rnacentral:rRNA from 1 species